UCCCUCGGCUCAGCCCUCAACCAAAUCUUACUUUCUCAGAUUGACCUCGGAUCAGGUAGGGGAUACCCGCUGACCUUAAGCAUAUCAAUAAGCGGAGGAAAAGAACCCAACAGGGAUUGCCUCAGUAACGGCGAGUGAAGCGGCAGCAGCUCAAAUUUGAAAUCUGGCUCCUUUGGGGGCCCGAGUUGUAAUUUGUAGAGGAUGCUUCGGGUAAGGCUGCGGUCUAAUUCGCUUGGAACAGCGAGUCAUAGAGGGUGAGAGUCCCGUCUAGGAUCGCGAGCCGCGCCCGUGUGAAGCUCCUUCGACGAGUCGAGUUGUUUGGGAAUGCAGCUCCAAAUGGGUGGUAAAUUUCAUCUAAAGCUAAAUAUUGGCCAGAGACCGAUAGCGCACAAGUAGAGUGAUCGAAAGAUGAAAAGCACUUUGAAAAGAGAGUUAAACAGUAUGUGAAAUUGUUGAAAGGGAAGCGCUUGCAAUCAGACUUGCGUGUAACGGUUCCCCCGGCCUUGUGGCCGGGUUACUCCGUUAUAUCCAGGCCAACAUCGGUUCGGGUGGUCGGUCAAAGACCCCGGGAAUGUAUCUACCUCNNANANNGACUUAUAGCCCGGGGUGUAAUGCGGCCCACCCGGACCGAGGAACGCGCUUCG
rnacentral:rRNA from 1 species